CCUUUCUUCCCUUCGCACUGCCUGCCUCUGUUUUAGCCUGCAUGCUGGCCCUCCACCUCGGGGGCCUUUCCCAGGAGAAAGGUAAAUGCAAGACCUACAGAAAUCCUCCCUCUUAUACCUCAUAGUUUGCAUCAGUGCUUGUCAAAUCUCAUGUACAGAGUUUGUAUGUGAGAUGGCCCUGCUAUUCUCUGCCUGUUUUAAAUAUCCUGAAAAUCUUUCUGUUUCUUGAGUUGCAAAGAAAGCCGCUCAGAACAGUAACAUCAGGCUCUGCCUAAAAACAUAAAGAAAAGGUGGGUAUUGUCUUUUAAUUCUUUGCAGAGAGGUGUAAAUGUUAAAACUUAAUGAAGGCCAUUUGAGUAGUAACAAUAUUACCCACUUGAAAGUAGAAACAUUUUGAUAUUCUAGAAUAAUGUUUUAUUGAAUGUAUUCUCUCUCUCUUUGUGAUUAAUUUGGUGCAUGUUACACUUUUUAUCUUUUCUUACAGCUUUGAAACCUGUCUUACAGAGAUCAGUGUUUAUCUCUGUCUCAAGGGUUUCGACCUAAAUGACUGGUUGAAACAAGGCUUAGUUCCAGAAAGUCUCUACUACCAAGUUUCUGAGCAGAUAAUCUAGAUUCUUACAGCAUUUCAGCUAGGAAUUUCAUGCUGCUGGAAGCUUAAGGUAUCUGUCUGUACUCUUACAAUAUGGUACAUUUUCAGCUUCCUAGAUGAAGUUCAGCCUCACAUGAUUCCUCCUCCUACUUCAGCCACCUGGAGUCUGAUCCUUUAGGGAGUUUACAGUGACCAGUGCAUUACAGUGAAUUAACUGGCAGCUGAACCCUUGCAGGACCAAGGUCUUAAGAAGAAAGUCACGCUGGCCUUAAAGCAGAUUGACUGUUCUAAGCUAGAGUCUUUUCUUCAGUACUCAGUUUCUGCCCACUUACAAAGCUUAGGCUGUGGAAUGCAAGAACCAGAUCCGUUACAGAGUUCAGAGGCGAUCUGUACAGUCAAAUAUUGUUCCGAUUUUUUUUUCUCCUCUCACAUAAUUUCAUAACAAUAUGCUCUUCCUCCACGCCUCUUCUUCUAUUGACAAACGCUAUUGUAUCCCUUGGAGUGAUGAAAGGAAAAGCCACUGAACUGCAUCAUCAACACAUGGCAGUUCCUUUCAUUUUGCAUGAAAUAUAUGACAGCAAAUGGACUAGUAAUGCACCUAAAUAAACCACAUUCAUAGACCAAAGGAAGAAGACAUUGUUAAGCACUAGGUUUAAUACACAGUGGGUAUCCAAUGGAUACAACAGAAAAGUUAAUUCAUUCAGAAUUGUAAGGAAGCAACAGUUGUGCAUUAUUAUUUUUUUGCUUGGUUUUACCAUGUACAAACAUUUGAACCAGGCCUCUCAACAUUGGGCAGGUCAAUGGACAGAGUAAAAGCAGACACUUGCUCAUUAUAACUGAGGUUAUUUUUGUUAAGCAAAACAAGAAAAUACAUAUUUGGUUAGCUUAAAAACUUUUUUUAAAUGAGAAAAAAAUUACAGAGAGAAUGAGUGACAAUUAUAUGAAAUCAAAAUAUAGUCUGCUAAAGCAGAAGUGUUUCAGUUCAGCAGGAAAUCUUUCUCAUUCCUUUUUUUAAGCGCUGUCUUCUUAUCUAGCGCUCAUGUUGUUUUCAUCCAUUCCUGACCACCAUUACCUUCUGUGCUUCAUACACAUGGCUGUCGUGGACACCAGCUGUUUCCCUACUUUUAAUUCUCUUUUUCCAGCGCAAGCUACCCUCUAACACCUGAGCUGUGGCACGCUCCUCCCUAAACAGUCUCAAGAAAACCUUUUUUCUGUGUAGUGCCUGAAUGCAGAGCCCCUAUAGCUCUUGCUCUACUGGUAAUUAAUUGCCUUCUUCAAGUGAUGGGAGGGGAAUACGCUUACAGCUCCAGGACUUUUCUUCCCACUCAUUUUGUGCAGAGACCAGAGUGACUGCAGCAGAAGCCCAACCAAGGUGAUGAGCUGGGUAGGAUUCAGUGCUGAACAGACAAUAAUUUCAGCUGGUAGGUAGGUGCAGGGUAACAGCAGCCAUCAUGCAGAUGGGGCAGAUGAAUUACCUGCAAUGUUACUAAUUGCCACAAAUAUCAGUGCUAAAUUUUCUUGACUUGAUCUAGAUGAGAAAGUUUGGUGUUGCUGGAUGUUAAGCAUCAUACAAGUAGAUGCCAAUCUGUAUACGCAAUUCCUCCCACAGAUCUUGUAAAAUGGAAGCACUUGUGGAAAGUUGCCCACCAAUUUGCUCUCAUCUAUUCCAGAGAAAAUGGCAGACACCUGACACCCUGCACGCUGAGGAUUGCUGUAUCAUUGACUUGGGCCACUGAGUGAUGAGGCAAUCUCCAGCCAGGAAGGAAACUAUGUGCAGUCAAGGUAGAGGGUGCCUUUGUUGGCACAGUCUCUGCAGGGAACUACCGAGUUGUGUUUGAGCUCUGCUUGCCAAGCUUUUGAAUAUUAAAGGAAACAUAGUAGUGAAAACAUGAAUAAGAGUCUGAAUGGGACAACAGCUACUGAGCACAAGGAGCCCCUCUGCCCUGUCUUUACAUGCUAUGAACUUCUCUCCAGCUGGAUUUUCAUUUCACAGAUAGAACCCUGUUCUAGUUUUCUGGGCAGGGUUAGUCAUUGGCUCUGUAAUACUGUGUGGAGUUGAAGUCUCUUGGUUCAUUGCUUUGCUCCAGCAAAGCUGGAAGGCCUAAAAUGCUUCUCUGUAACAAUCAAGGAUUUCAGGGUAUCCAAUUUUCCCUUUUACAUUAGACCUUCAUAAAAAAUCAGCCACUUUGCCCUCCCCUCCUUUGCAGAAUAUUGGUACGAUGACUGCAGACAACUGUCCUGUUCUGACCUGAGCAUUGGCUCUAUGGCAGCAAUUUGUUAACUCUGCCUCAAAAAAGCGCUUACAGGUCAUCAUACGUGCACUAUGACUAGGGUGCAACAACUCCUGUUGUUUCAGUUAGGGAAACCAAGGUACAGCCUAGUUUCAAACUCCUGAUUACAGGAAUUCCUGGAUUACGUUCAGGCAUUGAGAGGAUAUCUUUCUCUCUUUUGUUCCUUACAGGAAGCAAAUGUUAUUUUUCAGCUCACAAAGUUUGUUGGCUUGAAGACACUGAAGCUUGUAGCCAAAGCUCGUGUUACUCUAACAGGGAUGCUCUUUUAAAAUGCUAUUUCGGGAAUUUACCUUGCUGGUGGCCUGACUCAAUCUUAUAUGUAGCUGGCUGUAACAGACCAGUUUUAGUUCUCCUUUCCCCCUGGAAUCAGUGACAGAUUUCAGAAAGCUAAGCUUUUAUGGCAGGCUGGCCUGACUCCAUUAAUCUCCAUGUUGCUGGGAAUUUGAAGUAUUUUUAUCCUGCUUCAGGCUCAGGUACAGCUUAAUGAGGAUAUGUGAGCAGUGAGGAUAGAGGUUACCUUUACAGUGUGAAACAAAGGUUUGAUGCAGCUUGGAUCUUGUUAGGUUGGGAUACCAGCGUCUAGUUUGCAGCAAGUGAGAGUUCCGCAACAGCUGAACUUAGAGGCACUGGUUUGAAAAACCCAAACCUUUGGGGUCUUGUGUGAGAUGGAACCAAGCCAUCGGUUGUUCAUUAACCUUGAUGGAGUUGUGCCAAAAUCUCAGUGUAAAGCCCGAUUCUUUGGCUCUGAUUACAAUGCAAGGCUGAGGUCUGCUCUAGCUGACAUGGGUGUUCCCGAGCUCCAGCUGUGUCCCCAACAUGGGGACAUGGGUUUCUGCUACAUCUCGCAUCUGUGAUGUGUCCCCUUCUGCUCUGCUCCCACCUUGCCAGCACAGUCAGAAUCUGGAGUGCUCCCUGUCACAUAUGCCAAGAUUUUAGCGGUAGGAGCUUUCACUAUAUGGGCAUUAGAAAGGAAGAAAGCCUAAUGGGUGGCACUGCCACGUGAAACAACUUCAAAAGGACAGCAGCACUAAGUGGAGGAUUAAAUGAGCAAAGCCUGACUCCUCUAAUGCACCAAGGCUGAUUGGCAGUAUUUGCAGCCUUCCUUAGUUUUGCAUCUAAAAGGAAGAUUAGCAAAUGUUAUACAGAAAACAGAUCUUGAAAUAAGCUUUUCUGUCUCAAAGCUCAUAGGGACACAAAUUCUUGGGGAACAGGAAUCAGAGAGAGAAAAAUACAUUUCAAUCCAACAACUGCAAAAAAGUAUAAUUCAUCAAGUUUUGCAAACCAUAUGAAAACAAUUCAAAAGUGACACAAAAAUAUAUAUAAGUUUGAAAAAUACUUAAAAGAAAAAAGUACAGAUCUCACAAUAUCAAAACAAAUGACGUAUGGUUAAAAAGGAAAAAAUAAAGACAUUGAAUAACACCAUAUUGGCAGAAAAAGUAAACCUCUCCAGGGCAGCUGUGUUGUCAUUUAAAGUGUCAGUUUGUGUAUCUAGGAUCUGUCUAUAAUGUGCUCAGCAAUGACAGCAUUAACUCUGAGCAUUAGAAGAACCUCAUAGCAGCGAGUCAAAUCUGAGAGCAAUGUAUACAAGGGAAGAGAGCAGCAAGGGUUACUGUGCUCAGAGGCCUGAAAUGUCCCAACUCACACGGCCGUGGUCUUCUCUUACUGCUACCAGACAUAAAAUCUUUUCUAAGUCCCUUCUAAGGGAAGAUUUGUGAAUUGUGAAGGAACUGUGGCAAGCAGAGGGCUCUAAGCAUGGACAGCCCAGUGUGGUGCUGAGCGCCUGGCUGUGAGGCAAACCUUGGCCUUUGGCUUCUUGAGCCUUUACAGGUCUGGAGUCUUACGGGUGAAGACCACCUUAGCGGGACUGUCCUCUCACCCACAUCAUGUAAGUUGGAGUAAUGUUGCUGAUGCGAGCGGGACCGCACUGGUAAGUGCUAGUGGGAGUCAGAGAAGAAUAGGGCUUCUGCUUCCCAGAAGAGGGGGAAGAUGUUGGGGUGGAGCAAGAGGUGCUAUUUCAUGGGAUCGUCCUCCAGAGGGUGCCUGGAGGCUGCCCAGUCUCCAGAGAGGACUCCAGCACCUCCAGUUACAGUAUCUGUGCUGCAGUGAGUUUCCUAUAAAAGGAGAUUACUUUGCCACUGAGCAUGGCUUGCACUGAUGCAGCCUGAAAAAAGAGCAGAAGGGCUCCAGUCCAUUACUGGGACUUGCACAAGUGGUACAAGCCACUCUGGACUGGGGCCUAGGAGAGCUUGUUAUGCAGGGGGGAAAUACGCUCUCUGGCCUUUGUAGCCCUUCCCGUAAAACAGAACACAACUAAAAAGGUGGUGAAGGACUGGAAUAAAGGUGUGUAGCCCUUUGCGAAUAAACCUUUUUCCUUGUUGCACAGGCUCCCUUAGAGAGAAAAGCUCUGUGUUGCCAAGGAUGUGUAACUGGUUUUACUGGUCACCCACCCGAGGCUGGGUGGGCUGGCAAAUCCUACUGUACCGCCAAAGGGGACAAAACAGACCUCUUGACUUCAGUGGGAAUGUUUUACUUCCAAAUGACCCACAUACAGUUAGCAAUGCUUCCAUUAAUGUGAGUCUUCUACAAAAACCCCUUAAGGGAUUGAAUUGACUUAAAAGAUCUUUCUUCUCCAUUUCUUCCAUUUACAGAUAUCACUAAAAAGGUCAGUCCGUUUGGUCUAACUCUCUGGUAUUGUGUCUCCCAACCUCUCUAACCAAAUAAAUAACUCGUCACUGCCUGUAACCCCAUUGAGUAGUCAAUACUGAUUCAGGACUGGUGUUCUUGCAGGCAUUACAGGACCUCAUGCAAUACAGCAAAAGGGAAUUUUCUAAAAAGUGGGAAAUAAAAAUGUCACACUAGCGAUCACACAACUAGGUCUUCAAGCUCAUGAUCAUUUGAGGCUCUCUGUGUGGUCUAAAAUAAAAAGGUUAAAAGAUA